UACGUAGGGUGCGAGCGUUAAUCGGAAUUACUGGGCGUAAAGCGUGCGCAGGCGGUUUUGUAAGCCAGAUGUGAAAUCCCCCGGGCUUAACCUGGGAAUGGCAUUUGGGACUGCAAGGCUUGAGUGCGGCAGAGGAGACUGGAAUUCCUGGUGUAGCAGUGAAAUGCGUAGAUAUCAGGAGGAACACCGAUGGCGAAGGCAGGUCUCUGGGCAUUAACUGACGCUGAGGAGCGAAAGCAUGGGGAGCGAACAGG
rnacentral:rRNA from 1 species